rnacentral:rRNA from 1 species
UGGGGAAUUUUGGACAAUGGGCGAAAGCCUGAUCCAGCAAUGCCGCGUGUGUGAAGAAGGCCUUCUGGUUGUAAAGCACUUUUGUCCGGAAAGAAAUCCUUGGCUCUAAUACAGUCGGGGGAUGACGGUACCGGAAGAAUAAGCACCGGCUAACUACGUGCCAGCAGCCGCGGUAAUACGUAGGGUGCAAGCGUUAAUCGGAAUUACUGGGCGUAAAGCGUGCGCAGGCGGUUUGCUAAGACCGAUGUGAAAUCCCCGGGCUCAACCUGGGAACUGCAUUGGUGACUGGCAGGCUAGAGUAUGGCAGAGGGGGGUAGAAUUCCACGUGUAGCAGCGAAAUGCGUAGAGAUGUGGAGGAAUACCGAUGGCGAAGGCAGCCCCUUGGGCCAAUACUGACGCUCAUGCACGAAAGCGUGGGGAGCAAACAGGAUUAGAUACCCUGGUAGUCCACGCCCUAAACGAUGUCAACUAGUUGUUGGGGAUUCAUUUCCUUAGUAACGUAGCUAACGCGUGAAGUUGACCGCCUGGGGAGUACGGUCGCAAGAUUAAAACUCAAAUGAAUUGACGGGGUCAUAGCUGUUUCCU